GUUGACUUCGUCUAGCGGUCAGGACGACACCAUUUCACGGUGUAAACUUGGGUUCGAGCCCCUAGGAAACA
rnacentral:tRNA from 1 species